GACGGUGACAAACCGCGCGACGGCUGAAGGGUUAAAGUGUCACAGAAACUACACACUGAAAAUAAUGUUGUAGUAACUUUAAUCACGACAUUGUUGUUACCACAACUAUUUCGAAAUAUUGUUAAAUUGAAUGAAAUAAUCAUAUUAAUAAAAACAAUGUUGUUCAAAUUACCAUGUUCACAAAGCUAUAGCACUGUACUUUCAACUAUGUUUAUGUAGUCAAGAGAUAUUCUUCUUGAAGUUGACUUGACCACAUGUUCAGUAACAAGCAACAGCAAAUUUUUUUCGAUUUUACCAUGCUCAUGGUAAUAAUAAAAACAGAGAAUGUGUAAUCUUUACUACCGUGCAUUUAUAUCCCUAACUCCCAUUGAAGGACGCCAUUUUGUACAUUGAUUUAGUAACGAAGACAGUAGCUAUUUGGAAGCAAACUAGAAUUGGUAUAUCCAAAAUGAAUAGAACAAUCGGAAACAUUUAACAAUACAGAAAUUUAUGGUGAUUUGUUUUUCGAGUUCAUGAACCAAUAGUUUUAAGAUUGAGCUGACUGAGCUGCUGUUGGAUGUAUUUCGUUUUCUUCAAUGCAUGUUGCAGAAAUCCCUCGGAUCGGUUUUCAUGCUCUGGCAUCUUCAGUGAAUUAUCCAUCAAGAAGGCAACGGAAGAUCAGCGUUAACCAGCGUUCUUCCUGAUUUAACAUCGCUUCUACAAGCUGACGGAAAACGGAUUCAUCGAGCCGGGAGUAGCGCUCUUCAAGGCAGAUCUUCUUCAGCAUCGCAUCAGUCUGAACAUGACAGCCAGUCACUGUACAUGAAGGUCAGCCAAGAGUCAUGCCGGCGACCGUGGAUGGCCAACUGCCUUCAGUGGUAUCCGGAUCAUAUCUCCGGAUCUGACAAAACGCAAAUUUUAUUUGUGCAAAAUAUUUAUUUAUUUGCGUGAACUCAUUAUUUAUUUAGAAUUGAAAUUUGUACAAAUUGCCAUUGAUCAGUUCAAAUUAAUUAUUAUUAUACACAUAUUUACAAUUCUAUAUCAUGCAUCAUGCGUGGACCUCGGCAUCGCACUUGAUGAUAUUCAAUAAAAGAAGCGUCCAGUUAAACCUA